UACGUAGGGGGCUAGCGUUGUCCGGAAUUAUUGGGCGUAAAGAGCUCGUAGGCGGUCUGUUACGUCUGCUGUGAAAACCCAGGGCUUAACCCUGGGCUUGCAGUGGAUACGGGCAGACUAGAGGCAGGUAGGGGAGAAUGGAAUUCCCGGUGUAGCGGUGAAAUGCGCAGAUAUCGGGAGGAACACCGGUGGCGAAGGCGGUUCUCUGGGCCUGACCUGACGCUGAGGAGCGAAAGCGUGGGGAGCGAACAGG
rnacentral:rRNA from 1 species